rnacentral:rRNA from 1 species
CUUAAGCAUAUCAAUAAGCGGAGGAAAAGAAACCAACAGGGAUUACCUCAGUAACGGCGAGUGAAGCGGUAACAGCUCAAAUUUGAAAUCUGGCUCUCUCCGGGGCCCGAGUUGUAAUUUGUAGAAGAUGCUUUGGGUGCGGCCCUGGUCUAAGUUCCUUGGAACAGGACGUCAUAGAGGGUGAGAAUCCCGUAUGUGAUUGGGUGCCCGCGCCUGUGUAAAGCUCUUUCGACGAGUCGAGUUGUUUGGGAAUGCAGCUCAAAAUGGGUGGUAUAUUUCAUCUAAAGCUAAAUAUUGGCCAGAGACCGAUAGCGCACAAGUAGAGUGAUCGAAAGGUGAAAAGCACUUUGGAAAGAGAGUUAAACAGUACGUGAAAUUGUUGAAAGGGAAGCGCUUGCAACCAGACUUGCGCGCCGCUGAUCAUCUGGAGUUCUCUCCGGUGCACUCGGUGGUGCUCAGGCCAGCAUCGGUUUUGGUGGUGGGAUAAAGGCUGUGGGAAUGUGGCUCCUCUCGGGGAGUGUUAUAGCCCGCGGUGCAAUGCUGCCUACCAGGACCGAGGACCGCGCUUCGGCUAGGAUGCUGGCGUAAUGGUUGUAAGCGACCCGUCUUGAAACACGGACCAAGGAGUCUAACAUCUAUGCGAGUGUUUGGGUGUCAAACCCAUACGCGUAAUGAAAGUGAACGGAGGUGAGAACCCUCAAGGGUGCAUCAUCGACCGAUCCUGAUGUCUUCGGAUGGAUUUGAGUAAGAGCAUAGCUGUUGGGACCCGAAAGAUGGUGAACUAUGCCUAAAUAGGGUGAAGCCAGAGGAAACUCUGGUGGAGGCUCGCAGCGGUUCUGACGUGCAAAUCGAUCGUCAAAUUUGGGUAUAGGGGCGAAAGACUAAUCGAACCAUCUGGUAGCUGGUUCCUGCCGA